rnacentral:rRNA from 1 species
GACGAACGCUGGCGGCGUGCUUAACACAUGCAAGUCGAACGAUGAAGUUCCUUCGGGAAUGGAUUAGUGGCGAACGGGUGAGGAACACGUGAGAAACCUGCCUUUCAUCUUGGGAUAACUCCGGGAAACCGGGGCUAACACUGAAUACUCCGUCUCGGCGGCAUCGCUGAGCCGGGCAAAAAUCUGGAUGAAAGACGGGUCUCGCGGCCUAUCAGGUAGUUGGUGAGGUGAUGGCUCAGCAAGGCAACGACGGGUAGCCGGCCGGAGAGGGCGACCGGCCACACUGGGACUGCGCGACGGCCGAGACUCGUACGGGCGGCAGCGGUGGGGAAUAUUGGGCAAUGGGCGCAAGCAUGACCCAGAGACGCCGCGUGAGGAAUGAAGGCCUUCGGGUUGUAAACCUCUUUCAGGAGGGAAGAAGCGAAAGUGACGGUACCUAAAGAAGAAGCACCGGCUAACUAUGUGCCAGCCGCCGCCGUAA